GAGUGAAUAGAUUUGAUUCUAUCAAUACUGCUGGAUUCGUAGGCAUAUAGAUUAGUUGCAUUUCAUUCCAUUGCAUUGCAUUAUGUUGUGUUGCUUGGGGACAAGCAACAAUUUAAGUUUGGGGGUAUUUGAUAAGUGGAUUUUAUAUACACUUAUCUGAUAUCUUUUACUUGAAUUAGUUACUUAUAUUUAUGUGUCUUAGUUACUUUUCAUGCAUUUUGUGUUUAUUUUGUAGGAUAUACGUUUGGGAGCGGUGUGAGCGACUAUUGGUAAGGAAAAACAAAGAAAACGCAAAGAAAAGCAAACCGGACAUCAUUUGGGCUUUCAUGUUUACUUCAUGUUCUUGGUUUGGAACUUAGCUUACAUUGUAGAGCAUCGUCUUAGCUUUCCGUAACAUUUUGAAUCAUUCCAAUCGGAGUUCGGAUGCAAGAGUUAUGAUCGUUGUACCAACGGACGUCGAACUUCGCUGUUUUGAGUGGUCAUUUGCAUAGCAGUCACUUCCAGCCAAAUUUCAACCUUCUUCCGGCCCGAAUUUCUGAAUCCUCAAAGAAUGAAAGUUGUAGAUCUCAUCGAUAUCUUCGAUUUGAUAGGUGGCAGGCCCCGUAACUCCUCCCGGAUCAAAGGUUAUGGUCGUUUUACCAGAGGAUACUGUGACAAAAAUUGUACCCCCGCCGGGGCGGGCAUAGCAGCUGCUAGAUAGUAAGGACCCCCGCCGGGUCGGGCCCUGUGCAAGCCUAAACCCCCGCCGGGGCGGGGGUACGCGUAGAAAAGAUGUUUUUUGGCCAAAUUUGAGUUCGGGAAGGAUUGUUUCGAUCCAAUUGACUCAAGGACUUCCACGAGGACUUAAAAAUAUGUACAAAGGCUUAUAAAAGGAGGGGAAUAACAAGGAUUAGAGGAUAUAUAUUAGGAAAUAGGAGAGAUUAGAGG
rnacentral:lncRNA from 1 species